UACAAGUGUGAUUUGAAUGAAAGUGUGAUUUGAAUGACAUGGAGAAGAUUAGCAUAGCUCAUACCCAAGGGUGACACACAAAUUGACACACUGCCCUGUAUUUU
rnacentral:snRNA from 1 species